rnacentral:misc_RNA from 1 species
CACCUCUCAAGCCUGGCUUGGUAUUGGGUGCCGCGGUUUGCCGCGCGCCUCAAAGUCUCCGGCAGAGCAGUCCGUCUCCGAGCGUUGUGGCACAACCAAAACCGCUUGAAGGACGGGAGGUUCUCGCCGUUAAACUUCUUAACA